rnacentral:rRNA from 1 species
AACGAACGCUGGCGGCAUGCCUAACACAUGCAAGUCGAACGAGACCUUCGGGCCUAGUGGCGCACGGGUGCGUAACGCGUGGGAACCUGCCCUUAGGUUCGGAAUAACUCCCCGAAAGGGGUGCUAAUAACGGAUAAUGUCUUCGGACCAAAGAUUUAUCGCCUUUGGAUGGGCCCGCGUUGGAUUAGCUAGUUGGUAGGGUAAAAGCCUACCAAGGCGACGAUCCAUAGCUGGUCUGAGAGGAUGAUCAGCCACACUGGAACUGAGACACGGCCCAGACUCCUACGGGAGGCAGCAGUGGGGAAUAUUGGACAAUGGGCUGAAGCCUGAUCCAGCAAUGCCGCGUGAGUGAUGAAGGCCUGAGGGUUGUAAAGCUCUUUUACCCGGGAUGAUAAUGACAGUACCGGGAGAAUAAGCUCCGGCUAACUCCGUG